UAUGUGUUUCUCUCAUUGUUACUGUGUUGUAUUUUUGUGUCUUGCACAUCUCCAUAACUUUUAAAAUCAUCUCACAAAAAGGAAAAUAAGGGAAGUACCCUUUUCCAACAAGUAUGUUUCAAAGUGUAAAUUCAAGCUUUUAUUAUCCUUUCUCUGUAGGUUGUUCUGGCUUUCUUACUAUGACUGUUUGUAAGACUACUUUUGUUUUGUUUGGGGGGGGGGGUAAACAAAGCCUGUGAUUCCCAUUGUGUUCAUUCAUACUUGGAUUGACUUUAUAGAAUGACAGCUCUGUAUUGCAAAAUUCAAGGCUGCAAGAAUUACUAAAGAAUUAACUGUUUUUGGACCAAAGACCUAGCAUUACUCUAGUGGACUAGGAAGGUCAAGUCUCCCCCAAACCACCAGUUAGCCUAAUGUACCAUUCUCCCUCCUUUUCCUGUCACCUACAGAAAGGGCUGGUUACCUACCUACUUGUAUCAGUGCUGUGCUGGGUGCUGUGUCUAGAGAUGGCUUAUAAAAGACUGGUGAUUGCCUCAAAUGCACCUAACAGCUCAUGUGCGCACACACAGGUACAGGCACCUGCCCACAUGCCAACACCGCUCAGCUCACUGUUUCUCAUGGCGUCGUCAUCUAAGGUUAUGGAGGGAAUCCCAGUAUUAGAAGAAAAUGACAAAUGGAGAGCGUUAUCUGUGUUGAAGUAACCAGACCUCUGUUUAGCAUCCCUGGAGGUCAAUGCCGCCCGCCUGGGAAGGAGACUCCCAUUUUCAUGCAAAUCACUCGCCUUUCUUACACCUGCCCUCUGCCCUCAGCUUCCCCCGCCUGUGGGCUGCAGUUGGGGGAGGGAGUAGUCAGCAGCCGCUCCUGCCCCAGUGCUCCCAUUCAUUCCUCCUUCAACUGCCUGGUCGCCCCCCAACUGAAUGCCUUUGGAAGGAUGAAAGGGCCAAACUUUCCAAAGAGAAGAACGGGAAUUUAUAGUGUGUGCUACACAAGGCGUAAUUCCUGCGAGGUUUACAUUUUGCACAACUUUGAAACGUGGGGAUUCUUUAUAUCCAGAGAUCCUCACACACCGAUGUAUUUUUUUCUGAUGCAGGUUUGGCCAACAAAAAAGAAUAACACGGUGUUUCAUUGCCACUCAGGUGCCUUCAUUCCUUGGGUUGUUGAUGGCUUGUUCAGACCACCCUAGAAAUACCUACUCAUCUCACUUUUUUUUUUUUUGUGGAGUAAAAAGGAUGUUUUACCCUACCAACUGUAAUGGCUCUCAAGCUGUUCCUAAUGGGCACGGUGGAGCCACUCGGCACAGACACGCAUAGGCAGGAAGGUGGCAGAAAAUUGGCUGCCUGGGCCCAGUAACCAUUUGGGGGGGAUGUCAGUAAUUUGCCGUUAAAUCCAUCUAAGUGCAUUACAGAACAGCUUCUAACACUGCCAACCCAGGGCAGCUUUUGUCUUCAUCGCAGAAACCAAAGAGAGCCCAUGGUUUUUGCUAGUACAGGGUUUUUUUGUUUGUGUGUGUGUGUGUGUGUGUUUUUUAUAGCACUCAAUAUCAGCAAACCACCUAGCAAGUACAGUCCCUUUACUCUUUACUGUCCAGUUUUGCAUGUUUCUCUCUGGGGCAGUUUGUUCAGCAUUUAUGAAGGCAUGCUAGAAAUAAUGGUAGAAGAGGAAUAAAGCGUAAACUCAGAGAUUUCCUUUUUAAAAUGUCAAGUACUAUUUUUGAGUGCUUAUUAAUAAGCAAGUAAUUGUAAAGGAUUAGAUUGAAGAAUAAGGUGUUCCACUGUUUAGUAUUCAAUUGGAAAAAUUUGAUUCACAGCUUUAGGAAACACUGAGUGUUUUCUUAAUUUACAAACGUGUGUGUGUGUGUGUGUGUGUGUGUGUGUGUAAGAGAAGAGAGAAGAGAAGAGAGAGAUUUAGAUUUCCUCAAAUUCCUAAAGAAAAGAAUGAGAAUAGAAAUCAUAACAAGCAUUGCAGUUUGAUUGUUCAACCACAGAUUUAGUGGUAGUGACAAAGGUUACCCAGGUACCAGCACCCCCACCCUCAGCCGAAACCCAGGACUAAUUAAAUGCUACCCAGGCAACCAUCAAGUUUCCCCAAACAUCAUACUCCAGGGCUUAUGCCUUUGUUUUCUUUGUUGUGACCUUAGGGUAAUUUCUAUUGCUGGGAAGUCAGAUUUCUUUGGUCAUAGAAAAAUGUGAGAAAGAAAGAAGUGCCCCUGGGGAAGUACACUUAGAAAUGACCACAGGGACUGGAGAAACUCACAUAAACACAAGACAAAAAUAAUGUUAUUUUAAUAAACGAUUCCAACUUAUGUUAAAGAGCUGCAAUUACUCAGGACUGAUGAGAUAAUUGAUUACAGAAAACGCAACAGGAGAGUCUACACAUGAUUUAAAAAUAAAAGUAAUUAAAAAUGAACAAAAAAGACCCGGGGAAUGUGGUGCUUUAUUGGUUAUGACCCCUGUCCGCAGUUGUAUCACCCCUCGUUUUAGAGACUCCAACUGAGUUUG